UUCACACUAAGGAAUCUUUUCCUAAUAAUAAUACUAGUACUAUAUUAUUAUUAUAUAUAUAUAUAUAUAUAUAUAUAUAUAUAUAAUUAUUGGCGGAAUUAUAUUUUAUCGGAAAUAGUUUUUUCAUUUCUAUGAGAUAGAAGUAAGGUUGAUGUAUGGUUUAUGUUGUUUAGAUUUUAAUUACACUAGAUAUAUAUGUUGUUAUUAUAGUGACGGAUUAGUUAGAUCUUUUUCAUCGAAAAAUUAUGUUGUAAAAAAAAGAGAUAAUAUUGUGGGACAAAAAGGUAAUUUCUAAGUUUAAACGCAAGUUCUACGGAGUGGUGAUUAGAUCAAUUUUGUUAUAUAGGGUGGAGUAUUAGCCUGCUUAGAAGAUCCACAUUCAGAAGGUGAAAGUGGUGGAGAAAAAGAAUGCUUCCAUGGGUGUGUGGGUGUACGAGAAAAGAUAGCAUUUUGUGUUAAAGUUUGUGACCCGAGUUCUAUUGAUCCAACCAUGAAAAGUUCGCGGUGCGACCCAUGUUUGUGAUUUGUAAGCGCGUAUUAUAUAAGUGCCGCAAUUAGUGGGUCGUUUUAGGACGUUCAGAAAAUACGUCAUUGUACUCAUUGUAUUCUCCAUCCAUUAUAGUGAAAUUCCUUUGCCUCUGUCCGUGGUUUUUCCCGCAAGGAUUUUCACGUAAAUCUGUGUGUUCAUCUUGUUUUUCCUUUGCUUGUGGUAUUGCUUAUUCUGUUCGAUUAUAACAAUUUGAGAUAAGUGGGACUGACUUCGGUGAAAGCCAAGAUGAGGGAAGUGAGGUUGAGAUGGUUCGGUCAUGUGAUGAGGAAGGGCACGAUGUCCCAGCGUGAAAGUGUGAGAGGUUGGUUAGGGAUGGAUUCAAGCGAGGUAAAGGUAGACCGAAGACAAAUUAUAUUGGAGGGAGGUGAUUAGACAUGAUCGACAUGAAACAACUCCAGCUUAUUGAGAACAUGACCCUAAAUAGGAAGUUGUGGAGGAGGCAGAUUGGGGUAGAAUGUUAGUACGAGUUUAGGAUGCUGUAUCUUUUAUUGCAUUCUUUGUGUAUCUUGUAUGUGGUAUUAUUGGAUGACAUUGAUUUAUAUUGUAUCUUGUCCAUUUACCAUUUCUUGUAUAGAUUAUUUUAUUUUGAGUCGAGGGUCUAUCGGAAACAACCUCUUUAUCUCACAUCUGAGGUAGUGGUAUGGACUGCGUACGUUUACCCUUUAGACCCCACUUGAUAGAAAUAUACAGGAUAUGUUAUUGUUGUCGUAGUAAAUUCUUUUAUGUAUUAAAUCCUCUCUUAGACAUAUAUUCACUCACAAAAAUAUCUUAAUAAUUUUCAAGUUAUAUUUAUAUUUAUAUCCAAGCACAACUUCAAAUUUCAAAUAUUUUUUUUUCAAUUUUCAUAUUUUUUAUAUCUAAAUAAAUUUAUCACUUGCAUAUAUUUUUCUUUGAUAUGACAGUUAUAAUGGCUCCAGUAUAUACUACAGCAGGAUAUCUUGCUUACAGAACUGGAAGAUGGUAUACUUCUUUUUUUUUAUGUAAUUAAAUUUUAGUGUAUUUUUAUCAAUUUUUUUAGCUGACGUGAUAUAUUUUAUCAAACUUUUUAUCUGACGUGAUCUCAUUUUAUGUAAUAAAUGUAUCACAUCAGCAAAAAAAAAGUGAAAAAAAUAUACUAAAAGUGAGUUCAGGAGGGUAAUAGGACUCCUGUGAAGUUGAAGUGUGGCGUAGCAACUUUGGCCAUAGUUCGAAAGUACUGGAUGCUUAUCUCCUCUGGAUUUACUUAAUUUGAUGUGGUCUCGAAUUAUGGCCAAAGUUGCUACGACACACUCCAACUUCACGGGGGUCCUAUUACCUUCCUGAAUUAAAUUUUAACAUAUUUUUUUCAACCUUUUUAGCUGACGUGACAUUUUUUGUUAAUUUUUUUAGUUGACGUGAACCUUAUUUAUGUAAUAAAGGUGUCUCGUUAGCACAAAAGAGUGACAAAAAUAUGCAAAAAUUGAUUUCAGGGGGCAAUAGUCCCAUGUGAAGUUGGAGCGUGUCAUAGCAACUUUGUUCAUAGUUCGAAAGUACUGGAUGCUUAUCUCCUCUGGAUUUACUUAAAUUGAUGUGGUCUCGAACUAUGGCUAAAGUUGUUACGACACACUCCAACGUUACGGGGGUUCUAUUACCUUCUUGAACUAAAUUUUAGCGUAUUUUUGUCAAUCUUUUUAGCUGACGUGACAGUGUCAACCUUUUUAGCUGGCGUGACACCUUUGACGUAGACCUCUUUUAUGUAAUAAAGGUCACGUCAGCAUAAAGGGUGACAAAAAUAUGUUAAAAUUGAGUUUAGGAGUAACACAACCCCUAUAAAAUUGAAGUGUACGUGUCGUAGAAACUUUUUUUUUUAGGUUUCCCAUUCGGUGCACGUAUUGGAGCCCCGAUUAAUUCGGAUCACGCUUUGCAGGGCCUAUUAAAGUGGCAGCGCUCCCAACAGAGUUUUCUCCAUAUCCAAGGUCGAACCCUCGACCUCUGGUUAAGGGUGGAGUAACUCCAUCCACUACACCAUAACCCAACCCAUGUUGAUGUUUCGUAGAAACUUUUGUCAUAAUUCGAAAGAUACUGAAUGCUUAUUUAAAAGAAAAUGUGGUUAUUAAAUUGUUGGUGCAAUUUGUCUAUGUGACAGGUUUUAUAAUCAUGAGAUGAAGAGGCUUGCUACAGUGAGGUAUAUAUAGUUACGAUGUUCGGAUCAAUUUUUACACACUUCAAUUAUUAAUUGCGAUAAAUUUGUUAUGUUAUUUUCAUAGUUCCAUAGAAGCGCAACGGAUCAGAAGGUCAAAGAGCAAUGGUCAACCAUCCACGUCGCGCCGCUUCUGGUUUUGGUGAUUGCUUCUAAAAAUAGAGGUGGAUUCAGAAGUCGAUGAAUUUGCAGAAGUCUUGAGUUCAAAUUUCUCUUACGGUUUAUGUAAUUUACGGUAAACGGUAAUCAUGUGUCUUGAAGGAUAAUGAACGAUUUGAUGGCAAUAAAA
rnacentral:lncRNA from 1 species